CUCAACGUGUCCACGUCUCCUGCAAGUUCCCAAUCAGCUUUCAAUCAAUGACCUAUAUCCUUUCGGUCUAUAAGCGCGCACGUUAAUCCUCGGCACUAGUGAUCGACUAUCCAUCACAUAUUAGCACUCAGGCACCUUCUUCGCCUCCUCGGACGCCAUGGAGCAAAUUAUGAUGAAGCAACGAUCAGCCAAUAUGAUGACUGAGACUGUUCAUGAAGCAUUGUGUGGUGUUCUAUUCAACAGCAUCGAUUCCGCCUCAGGAGUCAACAGCCUCUAUUACCUAUGCUUUAUCGACCCUGUCACCAGCGCAAUGUAUCAUGCUCGCCGAAUUCAAGCAUCGAUACGCUCCCUUGCUCAUCUCUAUCAUUUCGAAAUUCGAAAGGUGUGAUUCAACAAGCUCAUUUUUGACACCUCAUCCAGCCAUUUUCAACCAGCACUCUUGGAAAUUCGUCAAGACGUUCCCAAUGUAACGGAAAUUCAUUCCUGACUGUCUUUGUUCAUUUCUGCAUGGUGCAGCAAGGAGAAGUCGGAGUUUUCCCCUUAUUUCAUGGGCUGUAUGGUGUCUUAUAUAUCCAAAGCCAGAACCCCUGGAUGAUGGUAGAUGAUGGAGAGCAUUGAGUCAUGUGGGAACUCGAUGAUGCAAUGUUCCUGGAGUCAGGUGGUCUGAUUUCAUGUGUGAUGCCAUUCUCAUCCCUAC
rnacentral:sRNA from 1 species